CCGAGUUAUCAAAAACUCCAAAACCCUUUGUGAACCUUACUGCUGUUGCCUCGGCGCGAGCUGCGUCUACCCUGUAGCUACCCUGCAAAACUACCCUGUAGUUGCGCACGGGGUAGCCACCCGGUAGCGCGUCUAAAAGCCCGCCGGUGGACCACUAAACUCUGUUUUUAUUAUCAUGUAUCUCUGAAUGCUUCAACUGAAAUAAGUUA
rnacentral:misc_RNA from 1 species